GUGCAGCAGAAGCACUACAGUAAAUGUGCACUAGGACUGUGAUUGCUUCCACUGUGUGUGCCUGGUUUCCUGGGAUGCAUGUCCCACUUGUAGGCAGAAUCCAUUGAGUGGAAACAACAAAUACUCAGCUUGAAGUCAAGCAAAUUGCUUUUGAAACAAUGAAGUAGUGGAA
rnacentral:lncRNA from 12 species